UACGUAGGAGGCGAGCGUUGUCCGGAGUUACUGGGCGUAAAGGGUGCGCAGGCGGCGGUUCGCGUGGCGAGAUGAAAUCUCCUGGCUUACCUGGGAGGAUGGUCGCCAGACGGGAUCGCUUGAGGGUCGGAGAGGGGCGUGGAAUUCCGGGUGGAGCGGUGAAAUGCGUAGAUAUCGGGAGGAACACCUGCGGUGUAGACGGCUUACUGGACCAUAACUGACGCUGAGGCACGAAAGCGUGGGUAGCAAACAGGG
rnacentral:rRNA from 1 species